UGCCGCGUGUGUGAAGAAGGCCUUCGGGUUGUAAAGCACUUUUGUCCGGAAAGAAAUCCUUGGCUCUAAUACAGUCGGGGGAUGACGGUACCGGAAGAAUAAGCACCGGCUAACUACGUGCCAGCCGCCGCGGUAAUACGUAGGGUGCGAGCGUUAAUCGGAAUUACUGGGCGUAAAGCGUGCGCAGGCGGUUUGCUAAGACCGAUGUGAAAUCCCCGGGCUCAACCUGGGAACUGCAUUGGUGACUGGCAGGCUAGAGUAUGGCAGAGGGGGGUAGAAUUCCACGUGUAGCAAUGAAAUGCGUAGAGAUGUGGAGGAAUACCGAUGGCGAAGGCAGCCCCCUGGGCCAAUACUGACGCUCAUGCACGAAAGCGUGGGGAGCAAACAGGAUUAGAUACCCUGGUAGUCCACGCCCUAAACGAUGUCAACUAGUUGUUGGGGAUUCAUUUCCUUAGUAACGUAGCUAACGCGUGAAGUUGACCGCCUGGGGAGUACGGUCGCAAGAUUAAAACUCAAAGGAAUUGACGGGGACCCGCACAAGCGGUGGAUGAUGUGGAUUAAUUCGAUGCAACGCGAAAAACCUUACCUACCCUUGACAUGGUCGGAAUCCUGCUGAGAG
rnacentral:rRNA from 1 species